GACAGGAAAACGUACGAUCGGAAAGUGGACAUCUUUGCUCUGGGGUUGAUUUAUUUUGAACUCCUUUGGAGCUUCUCCACCGGACACGAAAGGAAAGAGGUUUGGGAAGACGUCAGAAACCAGAAACCUCCUCAAGGAUUCUCAUACAAAUUCCCCCUCGAGAGCCAGGUAAUAAAGUCGAUGCUGUGUGUGAAACCAGAGGAGCGACCUGAAGCGAGUUGUCUGAAGAGUGACCUGGAGGAGUGUUCUCGUAUACUGACAGCCCUUAAAGAAUCUCGUUGUGACAAUAAGACGUUCUGAUGAUGAUGUGUCUUCAAACUACAGAUGGGGGUCGAUCCCAACCAUUACAGCAUGUCCUAACAGCACGCGACGCGAGUGAGCGUCAGCGACAAAAUCAGCUUCAUUCUAUUGUUUCCUAUUGGAGUGUCCUAACCGCGUUUCACCCCCGACUCCCCGUUUCUGUUUUCCUCUCUGUCGCUGACGUAGGGAGGAGGGGGCUCUACAACGCUCUGACUCUCUCCUCCCUCAGCACAGCUUGUUAGCUUGUUAGCCCGUUUUACAAAGCGGGGAUAGUGGAGCAUUAAUAAUAUCCACAUCAUGAUUUAAAUGUUGACCUUUGACCUGUGUCAACACCAGAGACGAUCUUUAUUCAGCUGACCGCGAGACGUUUACUGACAAGCCUCUGAGUGUUGAGAUUUGAGUCGACAACUCGUCAAUACAAAGCACACUUCAGUUUGUCCACCUUCAAAAUAAAAGCACCUCACUUUGACAGAGUGUGUGAUCGUGCGCAAUGCGACAUCCAACGCUCGCGUGCUGUCAAGACACGGUGUCAUGUGACUGCAGUGAUUUGAGCUGACUGCGAUCAUUUAGAACUUUUUGAAGACGCCAAAGUUGAUGAAAAACAAACAAAAAUACCGUCUUUCUAUCAUGAGCUUUGCCCCUUCAGGUUAGACUGGGGCGUCUUUAAAGACCCCGUCAUUUUUAGCCUUAUACCUUAUUGAAAAAUUUGCACCGCAACUUACGAUGCACUUAUUCUGUUUCUAUUAUCGCUGUCAGGAACGAAACGUGGCCUCUAGGAACCAUCUUACAAAGGUUUUUUUUUCAGGUCAUGUGACUCUGUUUGAUGUUUCCUCGAACAGAAGACGAUGGCAGAGAGGUUCAGACUAUUGGGUCUACUUUAAAAAAGCAGGUGAACAAACUCUGAGUGUAAUCCUGGACUCAGACUUUGAGUUUCCGUCUCAGGGUCUUUGUUCUUAAAAAGGCAGCACUAAUAGUGCUCAGAUAAUACCUCUCUUCUGGCAAUGGAAAACAACAACAGAGCCUUAAGUUGAAAAAUGUACGCGUGCAAAGCAACAGAUAACAUCUUUUGAACAUAUUAAAGAGUUAUUAGUUAUCCAGCAGACAUCGGGGCGGUUUGCAGUGUCAACACCUCCAAGUCAGAGGCCAUGGAUCUUAUUACUCCCUCCGGGUGAGGAAUGAGGAGCUAAGACAUUCAGGGGGAGGAGCUCGCAGUAGAGCCGCUACUCCAGUUGAGGUGGUUCAGGCAUCUAAUCAGGAUCUCCUGGUCACCUCCCUUUGGAGGUUUUCUGGGCACGCCCAACUGGAAGGAGACCCGGGGUAGACCCAGAGUUCACCGAAGGGAUUAAAUAUCCCAUCUGGCCUGGGAACGCCUCGGGAUCUUCCAGGAGGAGCUGGAAAAUGUUGCUUGGGAGAGGGACGUCUGGGUUGACCUGAUUAGUCUGCUGCCAUCGCGACCCGACCUCGGAUAAGAGGACGUAAAUUGAGUGAUGGAUGGCUAACAAAGUUAACACAUUUUUUAGCAUCAUCCAGUCAUUUAACGUUCACCUAACUUUGAUUCCCUAGUUGGUAAUUAAAGUUCUCGAAUCCUAUCAUACUUUUAGGUUUCAGAUGUAUUGAUUCAGCUGUAACGCCGCGUCGGAAACAAACUGGAAGCAACGAUGAGCAAAAAUAUGAACAGAGUUAGUAAAGUUUUGACCUGUGAAUAUGACCUGUCUGAACCACUAAAACCAUCAGAGGGAAUACCAGUUUAAAAGAAGACAAGUAACGUAUAUAGGUUUUUUAAUUGGUGUAAGAACAACUUCUUACAUUUCAUCUGUUGAAAACAAAACCCAGCGUUCUCCUACUUUAGGUAAGAGGUCACACAUUCCAGAGAAAAAGACCCAGACAGAGUGAUGGAGAUCUUUUCUCAACCUUUAAGUAUAACCUGCGCUGGUUUAGAGCAUUGGUUGUGCACGUCCUCAGAAAUUAACACUACGCAAGAUUCAAUAUGCAUAUAACUACCUGCUCUAUGAUGCGUCAUUGCUGUUGCCUAGCAACAAACAAGCAUACCAAGUAUACAUUUACAUUCACGAUGCAGUAGGUUGUCUACGCGUACGUGUGGCUCAAAGUGUAUAUUUGAGACUUACUGGGUUUCUUAACAUCCUGAUUGGAUGCAUUGUGCUGCUAAUCACACAGCUACUCACCAGAGAUGUGUGCGCUCAGUCGAAUUAACGGUUAACGACAUCACUCUCGCUAACUCGACAGAGUUACAAGUCAGUUAAACGACUCCUUAAUAUUUUAGAUGUUGGCUUUUCAAAUGUAGUUAAACUGCAAUGCAGACACUCACCACUAGCUGGUGCUGUCGCCAUGGACGGGCUGUCUCUCCGGUUAAUGUGCCCGCUCUCCUCGCUCAAGUACCAGGAUGUAAACAAGCACAGUGAACAGAUCUCGUUGGAGCAGAGCGGAAAAAAGAGCAUCAAAUGAACGUAGGCUAAACGGGAGCGAUGUGUGACCACAUUCAGCCCCAACAUGUGGACGCUAACCUGCAGGGAGGCCUGAAGGCUGGCGGUGUUAGCAUUGCUAAUGUUAGCAACACUGGCUAAACCAAAUUACCUUGUUAACCAGGAAAUCAAUUCUAGAUGAUUUGUGGUCACAUCUCCUGGCAACGGAAAUUAUGUGGUAAUAUACGUCAGCGUAUUUUUCGUCUCGUGAUCUCAGAUUUUUCCUCUUUGAGACGGCCCUGGUAGUCCGUCACGUUACGAUCAUUUGGAAGUGUGAAGAAUAAAAUGAAUGAAUUAUGGGUAAUUAUCAUGACUGUUUGUUUAAUCGUGUUCUAACGUACGUGAAGCCUUUAAUCAUGACUGAGGACACAUUUUAUGUCCUGAGGGUUUUCAUCGUGUGCUGGUCUUGAGAUAUUUGAUUCUGAUUGGUUAAUGUGUUUACAGUGAUGUCAAAUCACAACCUUUGUUUUUAAUAAAGAGGCUGAACUGGGCUGUGACUGUC